rnacentral:lncRNA from 1 species
GGUCUGACUGCCUACAACAGUAUUUAAUAUGCAUAUACAAUAAAGAUUACUUCUGUUGUUUUUUGUGUUGUUUUUUUGUUUUUUGUUUGUUUGGAUUUUUAUUUUGUUUAUUGCCUUUUACAGGUCACAGUUAGAAGCCAACUUCAGCCUACUUAGGAAACAGUAUCAGCAAUGAAUCUUUUUAUUAACCCACCACUGCAUGUCUAAAAUUUGAUGGUGAUGAUGAUGAUGAUGAUGUUCCUAAUGAGAACUAGCAGUUUGAUCUACCUUGUCCAAGUGCACAGAGGAGUUCCAGUUUGCAGCCAGAAUCCAUUCUUUACUGAAAUCAGCUGGAAGACAUCUAGGGAACUGAAUGAGAACAGUAUCACAGAAACAGCAAUAUGCUUCCAGAAACAAAGUACUGCUGCAGAUUCAGAGGGAAGUGUUCAC